UACGGGGGGGGGCAAGCGUUGUUCGGAGUUACUGGGCGUAAAGGGCUCGUAGGCGGCCAACUAAGUCAGACGUGAAAUCCCUCGGCUUAACCGGGGAACUGCGUCUGAUACUGGUUGGCUUGAAUCCGGGAGAGGGAUGUGGAAUUCCAGGUGUAGCGGUGAAAUGCGCAGAUAGUCGGGAAGAACACCCGUGGCGAAGGCGGCUUCCUGGACCGACACUGACGCUGAGGCGCGAAAGCUAGGGGAGCAAACGGG
rnacentral:rRNA from 1 species